GGUUGGAGGAUCGGUCCAUUUUCUAUGGAUGCAUCCGUUUGAGAGGGAAUGACAAUGGUGGAGAUGUUGAUGCUGAUGGUGGUCUCUUGAUUUUCACCUAUCUUGGUUAACCUUUAGGUCAAUAUGAGAAACUUUGAUACCUACAGAAAGAUGAGCUUUAUGCGGUUGAACUAUUUGUACUGAUGAACUGCGAUGAGAUAUUAUUGUGCAUUGAGAUGUUCAAAGAUAUGAUUAAAAGAGAACAGUACAGUAUAUUUGAGAAAGAAUUGGAGCAAGUCUGUGAUGCAUCAUGUCGUAACGGGGUUAAAUAAUAUGUCUGCCAACAUGCGAGUCAAAUUGAUUCUCAUGUUGUCGACAUCUCUCAUGGACUUGGUCGUAUGGCAAGGUAUUUCAAAGGUUAUUAUGUCAAUGGAUACAGGUUUCACACAUUGGAUUAUGGUCACAAUCAUAAAAUGAUGAAUAGUGGUGUUUGCAUUAAGAAAAGUUGUUAUAAUGAUUACGAUUAUGACUUUUAUGGAUUGUUGGUCAAUACUUUGGUGUCAACAAUUGAGUCAUGUUGUUUAAAUGCCAUUGCUUUGAUAUCGACAAAGGUGUUUAAAUAGAUCCUAUUCAUGGGUUGAUUGUCACAAGUCAAUUCUUGCUAGCAAUGAGUUUUUGUUUUAAUUGAA